rnacentral:rRNA from 1 species
AUUGAACGCUGGCGGCAUGCCUUACACAUGCAAGUCGAACGGCAGCACGGGGGCAACCCUGGUGGCGAGUGGCGAACGGGUGAGUAACAUAUCGGAACAUACCCUAGAGUGGGGGAUAACGUAGCGAAAGUUACGCUAAUACCGCAUACGAUCUAAGGAUGAAAGUGGGGGAUCUUCGGACCUCAUGCUCAUGGAGUGGCCGAUAUCUGAUUAGCUAGUUGGUGAGGUAAAGGCUCACCAAGGCGACGAUCAGUAGCUGGUUUGAGAGAACGACCAGCCACACUGGAACUGAGACACGGUCCAGACUCCUACGGAGGCAGCAGUGGGGAAUUUUGGGACAAUGGGGGCAACCCUGAUCCAGCAAUGCCGCGUGAGUGAAGAAGGGCCUUCGGGUUGUUGGAAGGCGUCCUUUUUGUUCUAGGGAAGAAACGGUAGAGUCUAAUACAGCUUGCUAAUGACGGUACCUGAAG